rnacentral:misc_RNA from 1 species
CUGAGUUAUCUAACUCCCAAACCAUUGUGAACUUACCACUGUUGCCUCGGCGGCAGGCUUAUUUUCUUUUCGGAGGAUCUGAGCAGCCGCCGGUGGACUACUAAACUCUUGUUAAUUUUUGUCAAUUCUGAAUAAAAAAAACUUAAUAAGUUA